rfam:Danio rerio chromosome 6, GRCz11 reference primary assembly.
GAAGAAACCCACAUGACCCUGCAGCCCAAGACUGGUUACUCACUGAAGCAGGGCUGAGCCUGGUCAGUACCUGGAUGGGAGACCACAUGGGAAAACUAGGUUGCUGCU